UUAGAGUUUUGANUCCUGGCUCAGAUUGAACGCUGGCGGCAGGCCUAACACAUGCAAGUCGAGCGGUAGAGAGAAGCUUGCUUCUCUUGAGAGCGGCGGACGGGUGAGUAAUGCCUAGGAAUCUGCCUGGUAGUGGGGGAUAACGUUCGGAAACGGACGCUAAUACCGCAUACGUCCUACGGGAGAAAGCAGGGGACCUUCGGGCCUUGCGCUAUCAGAUGAGCCUAGGUCGGAUUAGCUAGUUGGUGAGGUAAUGGCUCACCAAGGCGACGAUCCGUAACUGGUCUGAGAGGAUGAUCAGUCACACUGGAACUGAGACACGGUCCAGACUCCUACGGGAGGCAGCAGUGGGGAAUAUUGGACAAUGGGCGAAAGCCUGAUCCAGCCAUGCCGCGUGUGUGAAGAAGGUCUUCGGAUUGUAAAGCACUUUAAGUUGGGAGGAAGGGCAGUUACCUAAUACGUGAUUGUUUUGACGUUACCGACAGAAUAAGCACCGGCUAACUCUGUGCCAGCAGCCGCGGUAAUACAGAGGGUGCAAGCGUUAAUCGGAAUUACUGGGCGUAAAGCGCGCGUAGGUGGUUAGUUAAGUUGGAUGUGAAAUCCCCGGGCUCAACCUGGGAACUGCAUUCAAAACUGACUGACUAGAGUAUGGUAGAGGGUGGUGGAAUUUCCUGUGUAGCGGUGAAAUGCGUAGAUAUAGGAAGGAACACCAGUGGCGAAGGCGACCACCCUGGACUGAUACUGACCACUGAGGUGCGAAAAGCCGUGGGAGCAA
rnacentral:rRNA from 1 species